CCUUUGCUGUGCAAAAGCUUGUCAAUUUGAUAAGGUCCCAUUGGUUUAUUUUUGCUUUUAUUUCUGCUGCCUUGGGAGACUGACCUAAGAAAACAUUUGUAAGGUUGAUGUCAGAGAAUGUUUUGCCUAUGUUCUCUUCAACGAGUUGAUGGUGUCUUGUCUUAUGUUUAAGUCUUUGAGCCAUUUUGAGUUAAUUUUUGUGCAUGGUGUGAGGGUGUGUUCCAGUUCCAGUGAUUUACAUGUGGCUGCCCAGUUUUCCCAUCACCCCCUGGUGAAGAGACUGUCUUUUCUCCAUUUUAUAUUCUUGCCUCCUUUGUUGAAGAUUACUUGACCAUAGGUAUCUGGGUUUAUUUCUGGGUUCUCUAUUCUCUUCUGUUGGUCUAUAUGUCUGUUUUGGCACCAGUACCACACUGUCUUGAUGACUGUGGCUUUGUAUAUUGUCUGAAAUCUGGGAGAGUUACGCCUCCUGAUUGUUUUUGUUCCUAAGGAUUGCUUUGGCAAUGCUGGGUCUUCUGUGGUUCCAUAUGAAUAUUUGGAUUCUUUGUUCUAGUUCUGUGAAAAAUGUCCUGGGUAAUUUGAUAGGGAUUGCAUUGACUGUAAAUUGCUUUGUUUAGUAUGGCCAUUUUUACAAUAUUAAUUUUUCCGAAAAAAAAGGAGCAUGGAAUAUCUUCUAGUUUCUUUGAAUCCUUUUUAAUUUUCUUGAUUAAUGUUUUAUAGUUCUCAGCAUAUAAUUCUUUCACCUCCUUAGUCUGGUUUUUUCCUAGGUAUUUAAUUUUGGGGGUGUGAUUUUGAAAGGUAUUAUAUUUUCAUAUUCCUUUUCUAAUAUUUCAUUGUUAGUAUACAGAAAUGCAACCGAUUUCUGAAAGUUAAUCUUGUAUCCUGCUACUUUGCCAAAUUUGUUGAUCAGUUUGAGUAGUUUUUGGAUUGAGUCCUUAGGGUUUUCUAUAUAUAUAGUAUCAUGUCAUCUGCAUAAAGUGACAAUUUUACCUCUUCUCUUCCAGUUUGGAUAUCUUUUAUUUCUUUUGUUUGUCUGAUUGCUGUGGCUAGUUCUUCCAAUACUAUGUUGAAUAACAGUGGUGAGAGUGGGCCAGAUUUUAGCAGGAAGGCUUUCAGCUUUUCUCCACUGAGUAUUAUAUUGUCUAUCAGUUUGUCAUAAAUGACUUUUAUUAUGUUAAGGUAUGUUCCCUCUAUACCCACUUUGGUAAGCAUUUUUAUCAUGAAAGGAUGUUGGACUUUCUCAGAUGCUUUUUCUGGCUCUACUGAGAUGAUCGUGUGGUUUUUGACUUAUCUUUUGUUAAUGUGGUGUAUGAUGUUGAUUUGUACAUGUCAAACCAUUCUUGUGAACCUGGGAUCAAAUUUCAUUUUAAAUAUUUUGAUAUUUUCCUGGAAGUUUUAUAAAAGAGUAAUAAAAUUAUUUAAAAAAUAAAAUACAUUUUCUGAUACUUUCCAUUUUUUCUUUUACCACAAUUUUACCAGUAAAAUAAUACUUUUAACCAAUCCCCAAAUGAGAUGUUCUCAAAUUCCCAUUUACCCCAGUGUAUUUUUAAAAUAUUACCAUUUUCCAUGUGCUUCAUGAAAAAAAAAAAAAGGCUGGGAAAAACUCAUUUGUAAAAGUUCUCAUAUCAGUGUCUAUGUUUAAAGGAUGUACUUAAAUAUCUAGCUAUUACCUACCUGUCUAUCUAGAUGGCAGGAGUAAAAUCAUCUCUCUUCUACACACUAUUUUUCUUCUUCCUCUCCUUCUUACCCAUUCACAAGCACAUGAAUAUUCAUUUUCCCUUCAAAGCAUAGUGAACAGUAGAAUAUUCAUUAUGAGACAAGAUAUAUUAAUGCCAUUCUGAUGAAAGAAUGUCCCACAAGCCCAUAUGUGUGCAUAUAAAAACCCCCAGAGCCGAAGAAGUUCUUCACGUAUAGUUGUAGGCAAAUAGAAAACUGAAAGCAAUUUAAAUAUAAGUUCAGCAUUUUAGGUUAAUUUCUAUGAUUUUAGGUUAAUUCAAUGAUGUCAUAGAAUAAACCAGAACAAAAAAUGGACAGUAUAAAAGAUGAUUAAUCCCCUGCAUCCAAAUCAAAAAAUAGCUCUCAAAAUACAUGUAUAUACAUGCAUGUAUUUAGUCACUCAUUUCCUUCCUUCCUUCACUUCUUUACUUACUCAAGUCCUUUUUCUGAAGUCAUUGAUCACUCGGGCAAUUAGCUCCUGUUAUUUUUGAUCUGAGACACUGAAUCCCUGCUAGCUCUCCUGGCACUCUGAUGUGAUGUUGAGGUUGUGUAUGCUUCACAAUUAACAAAGACUUUUUAUUAUUUUGAACUCUUGAUGUCACUGCCUUUGUUUUGCAUAGAAGACAACAUGACAAGGUUUUUAAAAUGCAUUUUCUUAUUUUCCACAGUAUGUAUUUUUAAAUCACACUGACAGUUUUAUUCCACAGCACACCCGCAAUUGCUCAGCUCUCACAAACAACUCUCGCCCAACAAAAGCACUCAGGGUAGAAGAAGUUUAAGGAGAUGGAUUUCAGUCUCCUGUUUCAGAGGGGUUGCUGUAAAUCACAGCAUGGGAGGAAGAAGACAAAUAUAAAAAUGAUGAAAGGUACCUUGAUAAAAGUGUGUUUUUAAUCACUAUUUUCCUAGGCAGGUGCAAUUCUCAAAACUUUUUCUCAGUGGGGCUGUACUUUAUGAAGUUCACCUGCCAGCGGAUCUGGAGGAUCAAUGCCUACUCUCUCUUUGGCUUGUGACCACACCUACUGUGCUUCGCAGAGGACAGAGUCCCAAGUCUGGACUGUUUCAGGGGACACCUAACCUAUCCAAGAUAGGGCUUCUCCCAGGCUUCCUGCCUCAUGAAGGAUUUGUUUGUAAGUAGAUGUCAGCCUUGAAGCAAUGGGACUGCUUCCUGAACUGCUUAGAGUUAGCUACAAUUUACCAGCCUCUGAAGUAGCAUUAAAACAGUGUUCAUUUUUUAAUGAGUAUUAAAUUUACUUUUAGCCAAACCCUCUAGCUGACAAUGAAGUGUUUGCUGGGCUUGCUAUUGGCUCACUCUCUGCUAAUUGCUCUGCUGCCAGUGAUUACUCUAUCUCUCUCUUUGGAUGCAGAAGCUUAAUAUGUCUGAGACUCGUCUUUAAUUUCAAAAGUAAGAACAGCAGUAAAACUCUCCAGAUUUCAAGUCUCUGAGUAGCGUCUCUCCUCAGUUAUGAAAUAAACCCACAGGGUGCAGUGGAAAGAAUAUGGGCUGUGGUAGAAGAUACAGUUGAUGUCCUGACCCAUCACUUUCUAUCAGGGAUGGGCAAACUACUGCCCUGUGGAUUAAAUCUAGUCCACCACCUCUUUUGGUACUAAUUGCUUUUGAUUGAACAUUUUUACAUUUUUAAAUGAUUGGGGAAGAAAAUCAAAAGAAGAACAACAUUUCAUGAUGUGAAAAUUAUAUACAGUUCAAAUUUUGGUGUCCAUCAGUAAAAUGUCCUGGAAUCACAUAUUCAUUCAUGCACCAUCUAUGGCUACUUUUUCUCUGUAGCAGCAGAGUUGAGUAGUUGCAGUAGCAGCCCUGUGGCCCAUAGAGCCCAAAAUAUUUACUGUCUGGCUAUUUUCAGAAGAAGUUUGCUGAUCCCUGACUCAAAUAGUUGAUUGAUCCUGAGCACAUU
rnacentral:lncRNA from 1 species